UUCGGUGUCCAUGCCAUUUUACUUUUAUGGAACUUCGACUUACCAAGUUUCUUGACUCUGGUGAUUGCUGCUUUUAAUUACUGUGAGUUUCAGCUACAAAAGGCCAACCUUACUCUACAAUAUAUAUUGUUUGUGCCCUUGUUUCUUUUCAUGAUUAGUAAGUAUUACUUGUUGCUUUUAUCUGAUUUCACGGGAUACACUGAGAGUUAAGAAAAUCAUUGCUAGCGGUGCUGCUUUUGGUAGCUACAUUGUUCUGAGUACAGCCAUUUUUUUCAGGGCUGCAACAAUGACAGGCUUCUUUUCAGUAAGCACCUUUUCUUCUUAUUAAAGGAGAUUAUUUUGGUCUGGAAAAUUGAAUGAGCUGAU
rnacentral:lncRNA from 1 species